GUGCACCAGGCGCGAAACCUCCGCAAUACACGAAAGUGUGACGGGGCCAUCCCGAGUGCCGUCCGCUGAGGACGGCUUUUCCCCAGUGUACAUAGCUGGGGGAAUAAGGAGAGGGCAAGCCUGGUGUCAGCCGCCGCGGUAAUACCAGCUCUCCGAGUGGUGGGGACGCUUAUUGGGCCUAAAGCAUCCGUAGCCGGCUGGGCAAGUCCUCCGUUAAAUCCAACGAUUCAAUCGUUGGGCUGCGGGGGAUACUGUCCAGCUUGGGGGCGGGAGAGGCCGACGGUAUUCCCGGGGUAGGGGUGGAAAUCCUAUAAUCCCGGGAGGACCACCAGUGGCGAAGGCUGUCGGCUAGAACGCGCCCGACGGUGA
rnacentral:rRNA from 1 species